CGGGGGAGGUCGGAUCCUGGGCUGUGUCCCUGGCGCCCUGUGCUCCCUUGCCUGCGCUGUUGGAAUCGCGCUCCCGGCCAAGCAGCCCUCU
rnacentral:pre_miRNA from 1 species